rnacentral:misc_RNA from 1 species
GAUGAAGAACGUAGCGAAAUGCGAUAAGUAAUGUGAAUUGCAGAAUUCAGUGAAUCAUCGAGUCUUUGAACGCACAUUGCGCCCCCUGGUAUUCCGGGGGGCAUGCCUGUCCGAGCGUCAUUGCUGCCCUCAAGCACGGCUUGUGUGUUGGGCCCCCGCCCCCCGGCGGGCCCUAAAGUCAGUGGCGGUGCCGUCCGGCUCCGAGCGUAGUAAUUCUUCUCGCUCUGGAGGUCCGGUCGUGUGCUCGCCAGCAACCCCCAAUUUUUUUCAGGUUGACCUCGGAUCAGGUAGGGAUACCCGCUGAACUUAAGCAUAUCAAUAAGCGGAGGA